rnacentral:tRNA from 1 species
GGUGGGGUGGCAGAGCGGUUGAACGUAUCCGACUUGAAAUCGGAUAGGCCCGCAAGGGUCUCAGGGGUUCGAAUCCCCUCCCCACCU